UACAGAGGUCUCAAGCGUUGUUCGGAUUCAUUGGGCGUAAAGGGUGCGUAGGUGGCGCCCGUAAGUCGGGUGUGAAAUUUCGGAGCUUAACUCCGAAACUGCAUUCGAUACUGCGGUGCUUGAGGACUGGAGAGGAGACUGGAAUUCAUGGUGUAGCAGUGAAAUGCGUAGAGAUCAUGAGGAACACCUGUGGCGAAAGCGGCUCACUGGACCAUAACUGACGCUGAUGCACGAAAGCUAGGG
rnacentral:rRNA from 1 species